CGCACUUCUCCCUUAGUAGGACGUUGUGACCUGUCAAUAAAUAUUCUAAGUAUUUGGCUAUUAUGUCUGUUCUAAGUUAUACCGUUAAGGUAUUUUCUUUAAAACAGUUUUAGCCGUUUUAUAUACUGGAUAAAAUUGACAGUAACGAAUUAUGGUGUUGAGCCACAUGAAAUUAUAUAUAUGUAAAAAUAUAUAUAAUGGAAAGUGUCCUAAAAUAUGGCUGUUUGCAAGUGGGUUGGUAAAAAAUAGUUUCAAUUCGGAUUUUUAACCGGUUAACUAUUCCGCCUACUGUUGGUAAACUGUUCCUAGGACUGUGCUUAUUAUCACCGGUCGGCAGCGAUUCAGGUUCAGGCUCUUAUCCGACCCGUCUUGAAACACGGACCAAGGAGUUUAGCGUGUACGCAAGUCAUUGGGCCUAUAAACCCAUAGGCAAAAUGAAAGUAAAGAGUUGGAGUUUUGUAAAUUUUUACAUUCUCUACUUUAGGGAAGAUGGAAAAUAUUGUGCAGCAAUGUAUAAGAUUUUCCCGCAUUCCCAGGGCGCUUGAUUCUUGCUUUGCAAGUCAAUGCGCACCUAUAGCGUACACGCUGAUACCCGAAAGAUGGUGAACUAUGCCUGGCCAGGACGAAGUCCAGGGGAACCCUGGUGGAGGUCCGCAGCGAUUCUGACGUGCAAAUCGAUCGUCGGAGCUGGGUAUAGGGGCGAAAGACCAAUCGAACCAUCUAGUAGCUGGUUCCCUCUGAAGUUUCCCUCAGGAUAGCUUGCACUCGGUUGAGACGAGUCUCAUCCGGUAGAGCGAAUGAUUAGAGGCAUUGGGGUCGAAACGACCUCAACCUAUUCUCAAACUCCAAAUAGAUGAGAUCCCCGGCUUUCUUAAAAGUGAAGCCGUGGGAAUAGGAUCAGAGUGCCAAGUGGGCCAAUUUUGGUAAGCAGAACUGGCGCUGUGGGAUGAACCAAACGCAGAGUUAAGGCGCCUAAAUUGACGCUCAUGUGAAACCAUGAAAGGCGUUGGUUGCUUAAGACAGCAGGACGGUGGCCAUGGAAGUUGGAAUCCGCUAAGGAGUGUGUAACAACUCACCUGCCGAAGCAACUAGCCCUGAAAAUGGAUGGCGCUGUAGCGUCGUGCCUAUACUCUGCCGUCAAUGACAAAGAUGAUUAAUAAGCUGUGUGUUAAUUAAUGUUGUAGUCUUGACUGCAGUAUUGUUAAUUACAAAGUUUAUUACUAUAUCAUCAUUAUGUCUUGAUGAGUAAGAGGGCCGCGGCGAUGAGCGCAGAAGGGUCUGGGCGAGAGCCCGCCUGGAGCCGUCGCUGGUGCAGAUCUUGGUGGUAGUAGCAAAUACUCCAGCGAGGCCCUGGAGGACUGAUGUGGAGAAUGGUUUCUUGUGAACAGCUGUUGCACAAGAGUCAGUCGAUCCUAAGCCCUAGGAGAAAUCCGAAGCGAUAUGCGCCCGUUAAAUAAUUUUUUUUUAUUAAAUGUUUGGCGCUAUCUGGGCGAAAGGGAAUCCGGUUCCUAUUCCGGAACCCGGCAGCGGAACCGUUCCAAAUCGGGCUCUCAUUUGAGAACUCGUCGGGGUAACCCGACAAGACCCGGAGACGCCGUAGGGAAAUUCGGAGAGAGUUGUCUCUUCUCUAUAAGCGUUCGAGUUCCCUGGAAACCUCUAGCAGGGAGAUAGGGUUUGGAACGCGAAGAGCACCGCAGUUACGGCGGUGUCCGGAUCUUCCCUACGGACCUUGAAAAUCCGGGAGAGGGCCACGAGGAACCCCGCGCCGGCUCGUACCCAUAUCCGCAGCAGGUCUCCAAGGUCAAUAGCCUCUAGUCGAUAGAAUAAUGUAGGUAAGGGAAGUCGGCAAAUCCGAUCCGUAACUUCGGGAUAAGGAUUGGCUCUGAGGACUGAGUCGUGCCGGGCUUGGUCGGGAAGUGGAGCGGGUCAACGUGCCGGGCCUGGGCGAGGAGA
rfam:Rhodnius prolixus Rhodnius_prolixus-3.0.3-6816.1, whole genome shotgun sequence.